GAGCAUCGGCGGAGCGUGAUCUGAGAGAAGCAUUUGGAAGAAUAAAAUGAGCAUUUGUCUUUUGACUGUAACAGGAGAAAAAUACAGCUAAGCUUGCCAUCACACAAGCUGACUGCAGCCUGAUCUGAUCUGAUCUGAUCUGAUCUGAGAGAGAGAAGCUUCAUCCUGCUCCUUCCAUCAGCAUCAGCACUGGGUCACAGGAACUCUGACACGCCGCAGAAAAAGCACACUUCACACUGGGAAACUGUCAGGAGAAGCGGUGAGACAUCAUGACAACACUGCUGGACCUAAAGAGCAGCGUGCUGAGGCAGGUGCAGAGGAGCCAGUCGCUGAGAAGCCGGAGGGAGCCGCCCCCCACAGCCAGCAGCCCCCUCCCACACUGUCCUGACCCUUUACCUCGCAGGGUUUCCGGGGAGAGCGGGGAGUUCUUUCAGCGCAUGAAUGCCAUCCUGCAGAAACAGGAGAAUAUGACGCGGGCAGCUCAGGCUGAGUGCCAAAGAGGAGCCUGCACAGUGCCACCCCCACAGGAGCAAAUGGACCAGGCUUUCAUUCCAGACCGCAUCAGCAGGACAGAGCUGGAUCUACUUUAUGAGGAAGCUGUGUACACAGUUGUCAACCGAGUCGGUGUUCCUUCAGCAGAGCAUGUGAAAAGUGAUGAUGAGCUCUUCGCCUACCUCCUGAAGGUAUCUGCCUGUCUGUGUGUGAGUCUGUCUGUUUGAUGAGCAUGGAUGCAUCUGAAGAACAGCAGAUUGCAAUGCUUAAGCUCUAAUAAAUA
rnacentral:lncRNA from 1 species